GACUGCGCGUGUGCCGGUCCCAGCGGCUGUACCAUCAAUUAGCCAGGAGGAGUGGACAGAAAGUGCUCUCAUGUCUCUCAGUGUUCAUCAGGGUGCGAGGUUUUCUAUAGGUUGUUAAAUAAAGCUGCGCUGUGCAACAGUGGCAGUGCUCCCUUCGCUUUCUGAGCGUUCUGACGUUACAGGACAGGCCAGCAGUAUUCAGGGGCGGCCAGUGGGGUCUGUUAGGGAAGGGCCUCAUUCCUGAAAAAAACAGAAGUAUUUUCCAUGCUGAGCUUUCCAAUGACUGCCAGCUACAGUGGUGUGCCUCAGUGGUGACGGUGGAGGGCAACAUGAACACUCAUGAGGCCUUGCACUGCUUGUGGAAUUGGUCUGAGCUGUGAGCCAGGUAGGUCCCCCUGCACCUGGGCUGCUGGGGAUUGACUGGCUGGGUGACUGCACAGGCCAACAGGACCUGGGAUACAAUAAAAGUUAUUGUCCAGAAAUGCAUCCUUCUGCAACGGUGGCCAGCAGCAUCCUGGGCUCCACUGGGCAUGGCACUGCAGCAGAUCGAGGGAGAUGCUACUUUUCCCACCUUGGCUCAGCUUUGUGAAGACUGCAGUCAGAGUGUUCUGUCCAGGCCAGCGCUCUCCAGGACAAGAAGGGCACUGACAUACUGUGGUGACUCUUGGAAAGGAUCACUGAGAUGAUUAGGAGAUUAGAUCCAAUCCUGAUGUGUAAGGAUAAACUGAGAGAGAUGGGACAGUUUAGACUACAGAAGAGAAAAUUCAAGAGGUAAUUAUCAAUGUGUGCAAAUAACAGCAGGGACACUAAAUGAGAUGGACCCUCCUAAGUGGACCCAGUGAAAGAACAAGAGGGAAUUGGCUGAAAUAUGAGAAAUCCUGCUUGAAUGUAAGGAAGACUUUUAAACUGUGAGGAUGCUGAACACAGGCACAUGUUGAGAUAUCCUGUCUCAAGAGGAAGCAUCAUCUUCCAGUGUGAGAAGAGCACUGUGGAACCAGUGGAAAUUCUGAUGUUCUGUUUAUGAUGCUGUUCCUGCACUUGCAAGGCACAGUCUUUCUUUAAAAGAGUUUUUGCAGUUUCAAGUGUGCUGACUAAUUGAAAACUAGCAAUCCUAGACUGAAAAAAACCCCAACCCCAAACAUCUGUUACUGUGGCUCCCUUUCCAGAAAUGGCUACAUUA